rnacentral:lncRNA from 8 species
AUGUGUGCUUGUGUGUGUAUGUGUAUGUGUGUGUAUGUGUGUAUGUGUGCUUGUGUGUGUGUGUGUGCAUAUGAACAGUAUGUGUGUGUGUGUACUCUCAAAGACACACUGGCAAAUGUCAAUUCCCUGGACCAGCGGGCCAUAUGUGAGGGCUGGCUGAGAGUGAUGGACCAGCGGGUCGUAUAUGAGGGCCGGCUGAGUGUGAUGGACCAGCGGGUGGUAUGUGAGGGCCGGCUGAGAGUGAUGGACCAGCAGGUGGUAUGUGAGGGCCGGCUGAGAGUGAUGGACCAGCGGGUGGUAUGUGAGGGCCGGCUGAGAGUGAUGGACCAGCGGGUCGUAUGUGAGGGCCGGCUGAGAGUGUUGGACCAGCGGGUGGUAUGUGAGGGCUGGCUGAGAGUGAUGGACCAGCGGGUCGUAUGUGAGGGCCGGCUGAGAGUGAUGGACCAGCGGGUCGUAUGUGAGGGCCGGCUGAGAGUGUUGGACCAGCGGGUGGUAUGUGAGGGCUGGCUGAGAGUGAUGGACCAGCGGGUCAUAUGUGAGUGCUGGCUGAGAGUGAUGGACCAGCGGUUGGUAUGUGAGGGCUGGCUGAGAGUGAUGGACCAGCGGGUGGUAUGUGAGGGCUGGCUGAGCGUAUUGGACCAGCGGGUGGUAUGUGAGGGCUGGCUGAGAGUGAUGGACCAGCGGGUGGUAUGUGAGGGCUGGCUGAGAGUGAUGGACCAGCGGGUGGUAUGUGAGGGCUGGCUGAGAGUGAUGGACCAGCGGGUGGUAUGUGAGGGCUGGCUGAGAGUGAUGGACCAGCGGGUGGUAUGUGAGGGCUGGCUGAGAGUGAUGGACCAGCGGGUGGUAUGUGAGGGCCGGCUGAGGGUGAUGGACCAGCGGGUGGUAUGUGAGGGCUGGCUGAGAGUGAUGGACCAGCGGGUGGUAUGUGAGGGCUGGCUGAGAGUGAUGGACCAGCGGGUGGUAUGUGAGGGCCGGCUGAGGGUGAUGGACCAGCGGGUGGUAUGUGAGGGCUGGCUGAGAGUGACGGGGUGA